GUGGGCGUAGCUCAGUUGGUAGAGCACAGGAUUGUGGCUCCUGGUGUCGUGGGUUCGAUUCCCAUCGUCCGCUCCA
rnacentral:tRNA from 1 species